rnacentral:rRNA from 1 species
CAGUCGCCGCGGUAAAACGAAGGGUGCAAGCGUUAAUCGGAAUUACUGGGCGUAAAGCGCACGUAGGCGGCUUUGUAAGUUAGAGGUGAAAGCCUGGAGCUCAACUCCAGAAUUGCCUUUAAGACUGCAUCGCUUGAAUCCAGGAGAGGUGAGUGGAAUUCCGAGUGUAGAGGUGAAAUUCGUAGAUAUUCGGAAGAACACCAGUGGCGAAGGCGGCUCACUGGACUGGUAUUGACGCUGAGGUGCGAAAGCGUGGGGAGCAAACAGGAUUAGAUACCCCCGUAGUCCCUGUCUCUUAUAC